ensembl:lncRNA
CGGGGCCCGAUGCCGUUCCCGAGGCGGGGCCCGAUGCCGUUCCAGAGGCGGGGCCCGAGGCGGUGCCAGAAGCCGAGGCGCCUCACGUCUCCGCAGGCCGUCCAGAGGCGGUGCCCGAAGCCGAGGCACCUCACGUCUCCGCAGGCCGUCCAGAGCGCCCUCACGUCUCCGCAGGCCGUCCAGAGCGCCCUCACGUCUCCGCAGGCCUUCCAGAACGCCCUCACGUCUCCGCAGGGCCUUCCAGAACGCCCUCACGUCUCCGCAGGGCCUUCCAGAAUGCCUUGACGUCUCCGCAGGGCCUCCGGGAUGGCAGGUUCCGCUCUGGUUGCUCAAAUGGCGGGUUCCUCCCUGGCCGUCGGCACAACCGGAACUGACGGAUCCUCCGUGGCCACCUGAACUGCCUGGUCCCUCGUGGUCCCCUGAACUUUCGGGUCCACCCUGGCCCCCUGAACUGACUGAUCCACCUUGGCUGCCAGUGGAGCCAUCGCUGCCUGUCCCUGUUCCCCUACACGGGCCUGGCCCUCCAUGCCUCCCCCUGUUCUACCUCCACCAGUCCACCUCCCUCCUGGUCUUUUUGGUUUGUUUUUUGUGUCUGAGGAGCAUCUGGAAGCUGCUCCGUAGAGGGGGGGUAAUGUCACAUUGUCUGGUC